rnacentral:rRNA from 1 species
UACGUAGGGACCGAGCGUUGUCCGGAAUCAUUGGGCGUAAAGAGCGUGUAGGCGGCCUUUUAAGUCCUGCGUGAAAUCCUGCGGCUCAACCGCAGACGGUCGUGGGAAACUGGAAGGCUAGAGUGCGGGAGAGGAGAGUGGAAUUCCCGGUGUAGCGGUGAAAUGCGCAGAUAUCGGGAAGAACACCCGUGGCGAAGGCGGCUCUCUGGAACGCAACUGACGCUGAGACGCGAAAGCUAGGGGAGCAAACAGG